GACGAACGCUGGCGGCGUGCUUAACACAUGCAAGUCGAACGGAGUGGCGAACGGGUGAGUAACACGUGGGUGACCUGCCCUGCACUUCGGGAUAAGCCUGGGUAACUGGGUCUAAUACCGGAUAGUGUGGGAUGGGCCCGCGGCCUAUCAGCUUGUUGGUGGGGUAUUGGCCUACCACGGCGGCGACGGGUAGCCGGCCUGGGAGGGUGGACGGCCACAUGGGGACUGAGGCACGGCCCAGAGGCGUACGGGGGGCAGCGGUGGGGAAUAUUGCACAAUGAGCGGAAGCGUGUGGAGGCGACCCCGGGUGGGGGAUGACGGCCUUCGGGUUGUAAACUCCUUUCGGCAACGACGCGGUAGAUGGAGAAGAAGCACCGGCUAACUACGUGCCAGCAGCCGCGGUAAUAC
rnacentral:rRNA from 1 species